rnacentral:rRNA from 1 species
UACAGAGGGUGCAAGCGUUGUUCGGAAUUAUUGGGCGUAAAGGGUGCGUAGGCGGUGCGGUAAGUCUUUUUGUGAAAUCUCCGGGCUCAACCCGGAGCCUGCAAGGGAAACUGCCGUGCUUGAGUGUGGGAGAGGUGAGUGGAAUUCCCGGUGUAGCGGUGAAAUGCGUAGAUAUUGGGAGGAACACCAGUGGCGAAGGCGGCUCACUGGACCGGUACUGACGCUGAGGCGCGAAAGCGUGGGGAGCAAACGGG